AUUUAUAUAGUUUAAAACAAAACAUUACAUUUUCAUUGUAAAAUUAAAAUAAAUUUUUGUAAAUA
rnacentral:tRNA from 1 species